rnacentral:rRNA from 1 species
CCUACGGGGGGCAGCAGUGGGGAAUAUUGGGCAAUGGGCGCAAGCCUGACCCAGCAACGCCGCGGGAAGGAUGAAGGUUGUCGGAAUGUAAACGUCUGUCGCGAGGGAAGAAGAAUGACGGUACCGCGUAAGAAAGCACCGGCUAACUACGUGCCAGCAGCCGCGGUAAUACGUAGGGGGCAAGCGUUGUCCGGAUUGACGGGGCGUAAAGGGAGUGGAGGCGGCCUUUUAAGUUAGAGGGGAAAUCCUAAGGCUGAACCGUAGAACUGCCUCUCAAACUGUGAGGCUGGAGUGCAGGAGAGGUGAGUGGCAUUCCUCGUGUAGCGGUGUAAUGCGUAGCUCUUAGGCGGACCACCAGCGGCGAAGGCGACUCACUGGACUGUAACUGACGCUGAGGCUCGAAAGCGUGGUGAGCAACCCGGCUUCGAUACCCCAGUAGUC